CAAAAUUGUUUUGUCGAUCUUUCCAUUUCUCUCUCUCUCCCGUGGAGUGCUUCACAAAGAAACUAAGCAAUUGUAGUACGCACGACAACCUUGGAGAAUUCUAAAAUACAAAAAAAUAAAAUCGGAAAAAUAAGGAUCCACAACUUAGAGAUUUGAAUUGAUGUGGAAGGGGGGAAGGAGAAUUAGGAUUAGGGUUUCACCUUUGCGAUCCGGUUUGUGGCAACGCUUCACGAGAUAACUUUUUUAUCCUAAAAUCUCAUAUCUGAUAUUUUUUCUUCUUUUUUUUCUUGCAUUUUUAUCUUUUCAGGUUGUAGAUCUGGUGAAAUUUGUGUACAUUUGGAACCUGGUGAUGGGUAUGCGAUUUCUCGGUCCAACAGUUUAUUUUUACAUGGUUUUUUGUUGCACAUGCAAGCUGUGGACAAUGUGAACACCAUUAUUGCCCCUGAUUUGGUUGGCAAGGUUGUAGAUCUGGUGGAAUUUGUGUAGAUUUGGUAUGUUCUUAGAUGUGGUUUAAUGUUGAUGACUCAAAUGGUUUCUCUGAUUCACGUUGUGUUUGUGUUCAUUGGUUACAUCUUUGAAACUUUUUAGUAUUUAACUGAGCCGAAUGGUAUCAUGUAACUGAUCUUACCUUGUGGAAUUAAUUAUGAGGCUUUGUUUUUGUUGUUUGUGUUGACCGGUUAAUUAAUGAUUUGAACUAUGUAUUUGUACAUAUGAAGGUUUGUUAAGAUGUGGGAAAAGUUGUAGACUGAGGUGGAUCAACUACUUAAGAUCAAAUGUGAAGAGAGGUAAUAUUACUCCUUAAGAAGAAAAGAUCAUUGUCAAGUUGCAUGUUGUUCUUGGUAACAGGUGCAGGUCUUCCCUCCCAAAACAAAAGUGUCCUUUUGAUUAAAUGUGGUUGUCUAUUGGUUUGGCCUCUGGCUCUUUCACUUAUAGGGACAAUAUUUUGUAUUGUGUUAUGUUUUGUAAUUUCCUUGGCUCGGGUACAAGUUUCUACUAACGCUCUCAUGAAUGAAAUAUACUGUUAUUAGGUAAUCCUUGAACAGAUAACCAGUUCCCCAUGGAACAACUUUUUGUUCAUGAUGUACUAUGGCUUGGUUAUAGAAGGUAUGCUUAUUGAUAAAAUAUGUUUGAAUUUGUAUGUUAUGUUACGCCUCAAUUUACACAUAAUAAUUUUGAAAUAUUUCCAUUAAAGCUUAAUGUCAUCUUUUGUUGUUAAAGUCUCUUCUGCUCUGCACCCCACAUCCCUACUCAAAACAGGAACCAUUCAUUUUUUUGCCCUUCCUUAAUUACCUGCUUUUAUGUGUUUAUCAUGAUUAUUAUGCCAAUGCAAAACAUUGGUCACAUAUUGCUUAUUACUUCUUAAAUUUGAUUAUGUUACUGUUGUAUUGCUGAAGUUAGUAUAUAUGUCUUCCUAGGCUCAAAGUAUUUGUAUGUCAAUGUGGCGUGUUGCUUUGGAAUGUGGUACUUGGAAAAUGAAUUUCCUCAAUGCAUUCCUAUUAUAUCACAAUUUCAGACUUUGAGACCAAAAUCAACCUUCUCAAGCUUGCGCAUUUUGCUGUUAUAAUUUCUCGACAAUAUUCUGAGAAAGAAGCUUCUGUUGGUUAUCUUGGACGGGUUAUUCGGAAACUUCAAGACAUAUAAUAACUUUUAAAAAGUUACUUCUUAUAUCACCUCUUAUUUUUUUAAUCUAAUGGUUAUAAAAAGUAAUUCCUUGACAGCUAGGAUUAUCAAACAAAUAUACCUUUCCUUUCAUAAUUUUGCAUACAUAUAUAAUAAAAAUCUCAUUUUUAUUGGUGGGGUAUCUUUGAUCUGAGCAUUUUACACUUAUUGGUGGCUUUAGUUUCUCUACGUGGUCCUCGAUAGAUUUUUAGUUGUGCCUUUAUGUGUAGAUUAUAGCCCCAAGCGGCAUAUGAGGUGGAUAUCUUUUGGUAUACAGUUGAGGUUAAUUUCAUUGUCAUUGCCUUGAAUUUUGAUCAUUUUAUUGCUCGGUACACAGCAGAAAAAUGACAACAUUCUUCAAAUAUGCCCUGAGGUAAUGUUACCACAAGAUCCUUCAAACAAUAAAAAAUAUAGGUACAAACAACCAAACUAUACCAAGGGUAAUUGUACUCUUUUUUUGUGUAUCUAUGGCUGGCGAAUAUAAAUUAUAAGAAAUUGAAAGAAAAAUUAGAUCAUGGCUCCACUUGGUGCCUCAGUCAGUUCCCAGAUAUGUUUGAAGUGUUGAUCUUUCCUUUCAUCUUCUCCUUGACCUCCUUAAUCUACAAAUAAUUGCAGUCGUGUCAAGGCAAAUCAGGUAUUUUACCUUUGGUUGAGGGUUAUCAGGAACUCUACAAUGCAUCAACGUUAGAAACUUCAAGAAAAUUUUAAAAAUGUAGAUUUAGGUCUAAUUUAGCUUUAAAAUAUCAGUUUGUAAAUUAAGAUUUAUCUUUUACUUAUAUAUUUUAUUUUAAUAAUGUUUGAUUUUAUUCUUAGGAGGAGGAAAAUAGACCAAGUGACCUGCAGUCUCACCCACCAAAAUUCGCCUCUCUCUCCCUCCUCUGAAUAUACAUUAAUUUGAAUUUAGCAAUUUUUCUAUUGAGAUGAUAAAAUAUAGGAAAAUAAUGUGUGGAGGGACCAUAAGAUCAUCAUAAUGCUGGUUGUGUUUUGGAGAUCCUCAUUAUGCUGUUAUGUGUUUUGUUAGAUUUUCAAUGCUUCUUUUUUUCUUUUAAUCUAUUUAUAGUCUUUUUAAAAUUACAAAAGUUGUGUAUUUUUAGUCCUUCACGAGAGAUUAAAAUUUAUUAAUAUAGGAGUUAACAACAAAUAAUUCAUUUCAAUGCAUGCUCCUUUUUAGCACAUCAUGACCCACUUCUAAAGGAGAACCAUUUGUAAGUUGGUUCUUAAUCUACUUCCUCACUUUGCUGCUAAUGAUAAAGAAUUAUGCAGAGUUAAAUUAGCAAUUCUUAUCUACCCAUUGAAGGACAACCACAUACUUUUGAAAGCAGAAGCUUUAGAUGAUUCCCAUGAAGCAAGGAACAGUGCCGCUGUUGUCAACGAGUUGUCCAAGGAAAUAACAAAAAUUUUGGUUUCUCAUCCUGUGAAUGCUAAACGUGCUGCAGAAGGAAAGAACAUAGCAAAUGUAGUCCUUUUAAGAGGCUGUGGCAUUCGAAUUGAGGUCUGUUCUUUCAGUUUAUUUCAUAAUUGAUACAUUAUCUUUCAAGCAGUGAACUGAUGCUUAAAGGAAAAACCAAACUUUGAUACUUCGUAACCCAUUUAUGUAUUCUGUUACUUCAAAGGAAAGCACAUCAAAUAUGUAACAAUCAUUAGAAAUAAAUUAAUAUCAAAUUGUAUGUUUUGCA